rnacentral:rRNA from 1 species
AAUGAACGUUGGCGGCGUGGAUUAGGCAUGCGAGUCGAGCGCGAAUCGUAGCAAUACGAGGAAAGCGGCGGAAGGGAGAGGAUAACGUGGGAAUCUACCCCCUUGUCUGGGAUAGCUGCGGGAAACUGCUGGUAAUACCAGAUAAUGUCUUCGGACCAAAGGUGUGAUUCCGCUAGGGGAUGAGCACACGUCCUAUUAGCUUGUUGGCGGGGUAAUGGCCCACCAAGGCAAUGAUGGGUAGCGGGUGUGAGAGCACGACCCGCCUCACUGGGACUGAGAACUGCCCAGACACCUACGGGUGGCUGCAGUCGAGAAUCUUCGGUAAUGGACGAAAGUCUGACCGAGCGACGCCGCGUGCGGGAUGAAGGCCUUCGGGUUGUAAACCGCUGUCGUAGGGGAUCAAGAAAUGAGGGUACUCCCUCAAAUUUGAGUGAUCCUAGGAGGAAGGAGAGGCUAAGCUCGUGCCAGCAGCCGCAGUAAGAC